rnacentral:rRNA from 1 species
UCGGCGGAUGAGCUGUGGUUAGGGGUGAAAUCCCAAUCGAACUCGGAGCUAGCUGGAUCUCCCCGAAAUGCGUUGAGGCGCAGCGGUUAACGAUGGGCUGCCUAGGGGUAAAGCACUGUUUCGGUGCGGGCUGCGAGAGCGGUACCAAAUCGUAGCAAACUAAGAAUACUAGGCACUGCUUUCCGUUAACCAGUGAGACGGUGGGGGAUAAGCUCCAUCGUCGAGAGGGAAACAGCCCAGAUCACCAGCUAAGGCCCCAAAAUGACCGCUAAGUGGCAAAGGAGGUGAGAAUGCUGAAACAACCAGGAGGUUUGCUUAGAAGCAGCCACCCUUUAAAGAGUGCGUAAUAGCUCACUGGUGGAGCGUUCUUGCGCCGAAAAUGAAUGGGACUAAGCGGUCUGCCGAAGCUGUGGGUAAUAUCAAUAUUUGAUAUUACGGUAGGGGAGCGUUCCGCUCUAGGGUGAAGCAUCAACGUAAGUUGGUGUGGACAAAGCGGAAGUGAGAAUGUCGGCUUGAGUAACGAAAACAUUGGUGAGAAUCCAAUGCCCCGAAAACCUAAGGCUUCCUCCACUAGGCUCGUCCAUGGGGGGUUAGUCGGGACCUAAGGCCAGGCCGAAAGGCGUAGUCGAUGGAAAACAGGUUAAUAUUCCUGUACUGAUUUUGAAGUGGUGCCGAGGGACGAAGGAGGGAACAGUUGGCCAAUAUUGGAUGUUGGCGGAAACGUUCAAGGUGAUGAGAGAUAGAAUAAAAACUAUUCUUGAGCUGAGGCGUGAUACGAUUUUCCUCUCUGUGCUCUGUAUGAGAGCUUUGCUCGAAUUCAGAAUUCAGAUGAAGACUCAAUUAGUUGUCAAACUUCCUAGAAAAGCUCGAACUUCCAAUACUUCAAAAUUACCCGUACCCGAAACCGACACAGGUAGGUAGGUAGAGUAUACCAAGGGGCGCGAGAUAACUCUCUCUAAGGAACUCGGCAAAAUGGCCCCGUAACUUCGGGAGAAGGGGCGCCCUCAAUUAAGAGGGCCGCAGUGACCAGGCCCAGGCGACUGUUUACCAAAAACACAGGUCUCCGCUAAGUCGUAAGACAAUAUAUGGGGGCCGACACCUGCCGAAGGUAAGGAAGUUGGUUACUUGUUCGUGCUUCGCAUGUUCGAGAAAGCUGACAACCGAAGCCCCGGUGAACGGCGGCCGUAACUCUGACGGUCCUAAGGUAGCGAAAUUCCUUGUCAGGUAAGUUCUGACCCGCACGAAAGGUGUAACGAUCUGGGCACUGUCUCGGAGAGAGGCUCGGUGAAAUAGACAUGUCCGUGAAGAUGCGGACUACCUACACCUGGACAGAAAGACCCUAUGAAGCUUUACUGUAACCUGGAAUUGAAUUUGGGCUUUUCUUGCGCAGUCUAGGUGGGAGGCGUUGAUAGUUUCCUUCCGGGGGGGCUUGAGCCAUCAGUGAGAGACCACUCUGGAGAAGCUAGAAUUCUAAUGGCGAUCCUUGAAUCAGGACGCUUGACAGUUUCAGGCGGGCAGUUUGACUGGGGCGGUCGUCUAACAUUUUUGCCUAAAAGGUAACGGAGAUGUGCAAAGGUUCCCUCAGGCUGGACGGAAAUCAGCCGAAGAGUGUAAAGGCAGAAGGGAGCUUGACUGCAAGACCUACAAGUCGAGCAGGGGCGAAAGCCGGCCUUAGUGAUCCGACGGUACCGAGUGGAAGGGCCGUCGCUCAACGGAUAAAAGUUACUCUAGGGAUAACAGGCUGAUCUUCCCCAAGAGUUCACAUCGACGGGAAGGUUUGGCACCUCGAUGUCGGCUCAUCGCAACCUGGGGCGGUAGUACGUCCCAAGGGUUGGGCUGUUCGCCCAUGAAAGCGGUACGUGAGCUGGGUUCAGAACGUCGU